rnacentral:rRNA from 1 species
GACGAACGCUGGCGGCGUGCUUAACACAUGCAAGUCGAACGGAAAGGCCCUGCUUUUGUGGGGUGCUCGAGUGGCGAACGGGUGAGUAACACGUGAGUAACCUGCCCUUGACUUUGGGAUAACUUCAGGAAACUGGGGCUAAUACCGGAUAGGAGCUCCUGCUGCAUGGUGGGGGUUGGAAAGUUUCGGCGGUUGGGGAUGGACUCGCGGCUUAUGAGCUUGUUGGUGGGGUAGUGGCUUACCAAGGCUUUGACGGGUAGCCGGCCUGAGAGGGUUACCGGCCACAUUGGGACUGCGAUACGGCCCAGACGCCUACGGGAGGCAGCGGUGGGGAAUAUUGCACAAUGGGCGGAAGCCUGAUGCAGCAACGCCGCGUGCGGGAUGACGGCCUUCGGGUUGUAAACCGCUUUCGCCUGUGACGAAGCGUGAGUGACGGUAAUGGGUAAAGAAGCACCGGCUAACUACGUG